rnacentral:lncRNA from 1 species
GGAUCCUGGGUGUUUUCACAAAGGAAGACAGAGAGUGGCGUAAAGCGGUGACUUCUCAACUUUCCUGAUGUCACCCCGGUGGCGUGAGCUCAUUAUGCUGAUUACAUGAUUGGCUAGUGGGUUAGGACCUGCAGGGCUGGAGCACCUGAAGACAAUUCACAAACCCAAAGGCAAAGACCCAAAGGCAAGGCACGGUGAGACAAGGGGUGGAAGAAAGCAAGCUGCCCUGACAGUUGAGACAGACACAGAUAAAUAAACAAGAACAAAAGCCCAGGACCACAGGCGGGACACAGGCCUCCCCGCGAGGGGUUUUUGGAGAUUGUUGGGCAACGGAAGCCAGGUGACUCCAGGCCGGGAAGGCUCCAUAGAGGUGGCUGCAUCACCGGGGAGGCACUGACUUUGAACUCAGUGGCAUGAAAGCAUCCCAGAACGUUCAGAUGUGUGCCCAGCCCUGUGGCUCUCACGCAUCUCCUGUGCUAGGGGGACGAUCUGGAUCAGUGCCUGGCCCAUGGAAGACUCCUGACCCAGGCUUGUUCACUGAAUGAAGGCAUUCCACAUGUUCUGUGAUGCGGGCAAGUCAUUCAUUCAUUUAUGCAUUUAGAAUGAGCUUUGAGAAUAUGGCAGCCUACAAAAUGGACAUGGUCCUGCCUUCAGGGAGCUUCUGGUCCAGCCUAUGGCCUCUUGCCUGGAAAGAGAUGUUACCACGUUAUUAGGAGGUAGUGUGGUGUG